UGGGGAAUAUUGCACAAUGGGCGAAAGCCUGAUGCAGCAACGCCGCGUGAGGGACGACGGCCUUCGGGUUGUAAACCUCUUUUAGCAAGGAAGAAGCGAAAGUGACGGUACUUGCAGAAAAAGCGCCGGCUAACUACGUGCCAGCAGCCGCGGUAAUACGUAGGGCGCAAGCGUUAUCCGGAAUUAUUGGGCGUAAAGAGCUCGUAGGCGGUUUGUCGCGUCUGCUGUGAAAACCCGAGGCUCAACCUCGGGCCUGCAGUGGGUACGGGCAGACUAGAGUGUGGUAGGGGAGAUUGGAACUCCUGGUGUAGCGGUGGAAUGCGCAGAUAUCAGGAAGAACACCGAUGGCGAAGGCAGAUCUCUGGGCCGUAACUGACGCUGAGGAGCGAAAAGGGUGGGGAGCAAAACAGGCUUAGAAUGACCCUGGUAGUCCACCCCGUAAACGUUGGGAACUAGUUGUGGGGUCCAUUCCACGGAUUCCGUGGACGCAGCUAACGCAUUAAGUUCCCCGCCUGGGGAGUACGGCCGCAAGGCUAAAACU
rnacentral:rRNA from 1 species